rnacentral:rRNA from 1 species
GCGCGAAAACUUUACAAUGCCGGCAACGGCGAUAAGGGGACCUCGAGUGCCAGGUUACAAAUCUGGCUGUCGUGAUGCCUAAAAAGCAUUGCAUAGCAAGGGCCGGGCAAGACCGGUGCCAGCCGCCGCGGUAACACCGGCGGCUCGAGUGGUAACCGUUAUUAUUGGGUCUAAAGGGUCUGUAGCCGGCCGGAUAAGUCUCUUGAGAAAUCUGGCAGCUUAACUGUCAGGCUUUCAGGAGAUACUGUCUGGCUCGAGGCCGGGAGAGGUGAGAGGUACUUCAGGGGUAGGGGUGAAAUCUUGUAAUCCUUGAAGGACCACCAGUGGCGAAGGCGUCUCACCAGAACGGACCUGACGGAAAAGGACGAAAGCUAGGGGAACGAACUGGAUUAGGUACUCGAGUGGUC